rnacentral:rRNA from 1 species
UACGAAGGGUGCAAGCGUUACUCGGAAUCACUGGGCGUAAAGCGUGCGUAGGCGGUUGGUUAAGUCUGCUGUGAAAGCCCUGGGCUCAACCUGGGAACUGCAGUGGAUACUGGCCAGCUAGAGUGUGAUAGAGGAUGGUGGAAUUCCCGGUGUAGCGGUGAAAUGCGUAGAGAUCGGGAGGAACACCAGUGGCGAAGGCGGCUCACUGGCCCGGUACUGACGCUGAGGUGCGAAAGCGUGGGGAGCAAACAGG